GGGGGCGAAACAGGAUCGACGAGGGCGUAAAGGGUGUGUUUUCGCUCGGCAUGGUACCACCGUUAUCGGACUAAAACUUAUAGUUGCUAAUGACAACAAUAAGGCUCCGGUCGCUCUCGCCGCUUAAGCGGUGCGAGAACUGGGAAUUGAAGUCCUACGCUCCUAGCCGGGCAUAGGCGGGGUCCGCAGGCACCUGGCAACAGAAGCCUGCAUU
rnacentral:tmRNA from 1 species